GUUCUGUUUCUGGUGCUGAUGGUCAUAGGGUCUGUGAUUCAUUUAUCUUUCCCUCCAGCUACAGAGAAACUAUCUGGGCCAGGCUUUUGUGAUAGCUCCAUGGAGCGAGUCCUCUGGAGAGAGGUAUAAGCAUGGCCAGUUACAUCUUUUUUGUUGCUGUUGCUCUUUGAGACAGGGUUUCUCUGUGAAACAGUCCUGCCUGUCUUGGAACUUACUCUGUAAACCAGGCCAACCUCGAACACACAGAGAUCCGCUUGCCUCUGCCUCCCGAGUGGUUGCAUCUUACGCAGAGGCUGAGGGGCGUCGGCAAUGAGCAGCCUGCAGUGUGGAGGUCUUCCUGAACCAGAGCACCAGCAAGCUGCUGAGCCUUGACUGCCCUGAAGAGAGGGUCCCUGAGAACCUCAGGAGUUUGACACUACCUUGAGUUUGCAACCCUACUACCAGGGGCGAAGAGGAGUCCUUCGAUGCACAGAUUAUGAAAAUCUCUUAAAAGACUCAUUUUAGGAAGAUGUCCAGAUAUCAGCAGCUCCUCCACCCCAUUUGGACACUGAACAAGAAUCUGGUUACAGGCUUUAAAAGACAGUCUGCAGGAUGUAAACAUACGAUGGAUUCUUAGAAAUCUGUUUCCCAUUUGCACUGUACUUAAUUUCUGUUGUUAAGAGUACACCCUAAUACAUAUUCAUGAGCGCUGAGAAAUCUCGCUGUGGCUCCACGCUCGUAUGCGAGAGUGCUUUUAAUAAAGUUUCCGAGUGACUUCC